GGGGUCGUAUUGGUUUCGACCAGGAAUGGUUAGGCUCUAACUGCAGUCGAGUGAUGACGUUAUCAUCAAAACAAAAAUAACUGACAACAGUUAUAUGAGAGCUCCAAGAGCUCAACAACUCUGCUUAGCUUAAUUUAGCUCCCGACAUAGGGUCCGACGCAUGGCGCCGGGCAGAGCAUCCCCCAAGGUUUUAUCCUUUCACGCUUGGGUAGGAUGUCAUACCAAAAGGAUAGGUGUCUAGAGUCGAUAAGUUACUAGCGCCGAAAUUCCGUUUAUCUCGCACGUCCUAGUGAGUCGAUAUACGAAAGCGUGUUAAAUCUUAAUAUCGUCUAAACUGUAGACGUUAUUGAAGAGCCUUCUUGGGACAGGAGUUCAAUUCUCCUCGGCUCCACCA
rnacentral:tmRNA from 1 species